AAUUAAGAUAUAUCCGAAGCUCGUGUAGUGGUGGCAGUGUCUGCAGUGGCUGCAGUGAAGAGAGUUUGGUGCCAUGUCUCACACUAUUUUGCUGGCACAGCCUACCAAGAGGCCAGAAUGCAGAACUUAUGCAGGCUACGAAUCUGUGAAUGAAUACAUGGAAGGCGUUUGUAAAAUGUAUGAAGAACAUCUGAAAAGAAUGAAUCCCAACAGUCCUUCUAUCACAUAUGACAUCAGUCAGUUGUUUGAUUUCAUCGAUGAUCUGGCAGACAUCAGCUGCCUGGUUUACCGGGCUGAUACCCAGACAUACCAGCCUCAUAACAAAGACUGGAUUAAAGAGAAGAUCUAUGUGUUCCUUCAUCAGCAGGCCCAACAGGCUGGGAAAUAAUUGUGUUGGAAGCAUUACGGGGGAUGAGGGGUGGGCUUGGAACACAGGUGUGUACAGCGUGCUAUAGUGGAAGUUUUGUAUUAUAGUAAUCCUGUUUCCACUUUGUUAUACUUUAGCCAAGUUGACUGUAUUAGAUGAAAUGUGAGGAUUUGUUCAGUCAGAAACCCCCAUUGCCCCCUCUUUUUUUCUUUUUUUUCACUUAAACAUUUUUAUGAUGAUUUAGAUGAAAAUUGUACUUUGUCAGUACAACUGUUAGCUGUUCAUAUCUACUUUAUAACAUUCACUAUACUAACUCUUCUUCAAGAUGGGGUGGGGGUGGAAAUGCAGUUUAGCCAUGUCCUCAAGAUAAAGUCUUGGUAAAAAUAAAUAAAUGUUCUUUAGUUAUA